rnacentral:rRNA from 1 species
UACGUAGGGUGCGAGCGUUGUCCGGAAUUAUUGGGCGUAAAGAGCUCGUAGGCGGUUUGUCACGUCUGCUGUGAAAUCCCGAGGCUCAACCUCGGGCCUGCAGUGGGUACGGGCAGACUGGAGUGCGGUAGGGGAGAAUGGAAUUCCUGGUGUAGCGGUGAAAUGCGCAGAUAUCAGGAGGAACACCGGUGGCGAAGGCGGGUCUCUGGGCAGUAACUGACGCUGAGGAGCGAAAGCGUGGGGAGCGAACAGG